ensembl:lncRNA
GCUCCUUGCCAGCCACCACUUCACUUUUUCUUGUCUGCUCUCACCACUUCUGUGUCUCCCCUCCUGUCUUUGUCUCUUCAUGAAGCGUCCUGGAACCCAGCCCAGCUUGUUCAAGCUCCCAACACAUCUUGAAUUUUAAUUCUCUCUCAUUUGAAGUCAUCUAUCUCUGUUUUAAACCCAGACAAAAAGAGAAUGAGCCAAUUUAUUAUUACUUAAAACCAAAACAAAUCUGCAGAGAAAGCCUGGUCCACUCUCAGCACAUCGCAGCGUGUCCUGCUUGGUGCUAAUACUGACUUGAAGGUAAGUGACCUGGGGCACAAAAUCCUGCACAGAGACAGCCUGCAUUGGAAAGGUGCCCUGCAAUGCACCCAGGCACCCAGGGCAGUGUGAAAGCACAUCAGUUAAGAGGAAAGAUGACAACAGAAGGUGUAAAAGCAGCACAACCUGUUCUCAGAGCACAUUACAGCCUUAUCUGGACUCCAAGGCUGCCUGGCAGGUGAGCUUUCCUGCCAGGCAAUGCUGCUUUUCACUCUAAUUGGCAUUAAAGACAUUGCAAUGAAACCCCUUUACUCUACACUUCAUAAAGACCAAGGAAAAUAGAAUUCAUUUUUGCCAGUGAAUACAAAAUUUACACCAAUAAUAAAUGAGGCAGGGGAAAAUGGGAUUCUCUGUUGAACAUGAUGAUAGUUCACAAAUACUUUCCAUUAAAUAAAAAGAUAUCAGAGUACGGAAAAACAAGUAAAUAAUUCCAAAUAAACACAUGUGGGAAAAGUAAAAGGUGCAACCAAUAUUUGCCAGUGGCCACGCUGGAACUGCACAUAAGCACAAAUCAUGGAACCAUAGAAUCAGUGAGGUUGGAAAAGACCCCCAAGGUCACUGAGCCCAGUGUUUGAUAAAACACCACCACACCAAGCAAACUGUAGCACUGAAUGCCACAUGCAGUCAUCCCUUGAGCCCUUCCACUGCCUCCCUGGGCAGCCCAAUCCACAGCCUGGCCACCCUUUCAGUGGAGGAUCUCUCCUUUCUGCCUCCUGCCUGUUCUGUGCUGCCCUGCACCUAAUUGUAAAUGAUAUAUAGUGGACACAGAUUUAAACAGAAGUAAUCUAUAAAAGCAAUUUAAAUCACCAGUAUCGAUAUUAUUUUAGUGUGUUAGGCUUUUAAUUCUUGUCAUAAUUCAUUGAUUAAUCAUCUUAAUGGAUGAGAAGGCAAUUCCUUCCCCAUUUUCAUGCAAUCCAACAAUCCUUGCCCAUUGCACCUCUCUCAUCAAUACAAAAACUGCAACUGCUUCAACUGCUGAUUGCAGAGUCACAUUUCAUGUUCCCUUCCUUGGGAAUGCAUUUCUAGGGAUACUAACAAAAUAGUGGAUUAUUUAUUGCAUUUCUUUGAUCUAUAAAUAGGACUCCUCUGUAGAGGAUAUUUUUACUGUGUGUGGAACAAUCUUGACACACUCAUUCUAAAGUGUAACCAAGUAAUUUUCAUCUCAUUUUGAAGUUCUGUGCCUGCAAGAAGUAACUAAAUCAGAGUGAAAAGUCAAGUGAGAAACCUGGAGGUCCAAGUGAGGCAGAGUUUGAGAGCAGGACACAGAGCUUCUUUGCUUUUCUCCAUUCUAUUUACAGCUCAAAAUAAAACCUCUUUCCUUUGUGUCUUUUCUGGUGGCCUGCAAGAAAUGAGUUGAAAGUGGAAAAAUAUCUGCUCAAAGCUGUUUAGCUCUAAGCCAACAUGAGGUGGGGGCAGUGUCAGGAGAGCUUGACCUGGGGCAGGAUCAUCCAUGGCACUGGGGUGAGUGCAGAGGUAAAAUGUUUCUGUAUAAUGGCCUGGUCCUGCUGUCCCUGCUGCCUUCAUCAGGCUGGAGCCCUCCAGCUUCAGAUGAUCUCAUUCACACUUCUAUAUAAAGAAAUCUAUCACCAGCACAUGUUUUUUUUUUUUUUUUUCUAGAUUUGCAAGUCCUAUUCAUAACUUGUCACUUCUAUCCCUGGAAAACUCAUCUGUUUGGGCAAUUUGGUAUUGAAAACCCCCUAAAGAGUGUAAUUCUCAAAAUAAUUCCAAAAUGGCAGGUGUGCACAGUGGAACACAUCACCCUGGCACUUUGCCACCAACCCAAAGCACAACCAUGAUCAAGGCACACACAUGCUAGCUUUUAAAA